rnacentral:rRNA from 1 species
UACAGAGGGUGCAAGCGUUAAUCGGAAUGACUGGGCGUAAAGGGCAGGUAGGUGGAUAUUUAAGUUGGAGGUGAAAUUCCCGGGCUCAACCUGGGGACUGCCUCCAAAACUGGAUGUCUUGAGUACAGGAGAGGGAAGUGGAAUUUCCGGUGUAGCGGUGAAAUGCGUAGAUAUCGGAAGGAACACCAGUGGCGAAGGCGACUUUCUGGCCUGAUACUGACACUGAACUGCGAAAGCGUGGGUAGCGAACAGG